rnacentral:rRNA from 1 species
UCAGGGGUAGGGGAGCGUUGUAUGCAGGUUGAAGGUGUACCGGAAGGAGCGCUGGACAGCAUACAAGUGAGAAUGCCGGUAUGAGUAACGAAAAGAUCAGUGAGAAUCUGAUCCGCCGAAAGCCCAAGGUUUCCUGAGGAAGGCUCGUCCGCUCAGGGUAAGUCGGGACCUAAGGCGAGGCCGAAAGGCGUAGUCGAAGGACAACAGGUUGAAAUUCCUGUACCACCGUAAACCGUUAUGAACGAUGGGGUGACGCAGGAGGGUAGUGACGCGGACUGAUGGAUGUCCGUCUAAGCAGUGAGGCUGGUGUGUAGGCAAAUCCGCACACUUCUAAGGCUGGGCUGUGAUGGGGAGCGAAAAUUACAGUAGCGAAGGUCAUGAUCUCACACUGCCAAGAAAAGCCUCUAGUCAGGUGAAGGUGCCCGUACCGCAAACCGACACAGGUAGGCGAGAAGAGAAUUCUAAGGCGCGCGGAAGAACUCUCGUUAAGGAACUCGGCAAAAUGACCCCGUAACUUCGGGAGAAGGGGUGCCCCGGUAGUGUGAAUAGCACGAGGGGGCCGCAGUGAAAAGGCCCAAGCGACUGUUUAGCAAAAACACAGGUCUGUGCGAAGCCGUAAGGCGAAGUAUACGGGCUGACGCCUGCCCGGUGCUGGAAGGUUAAGGGGAGCGGUUAGGAGCAAUCCGAAGCUGUGAACCGAAGCCCCAGUAAACGGCGGCCGUAACUAUAACGGUCCUAAGGUAGCGAAAUUCCUUGUCAGGUAAAUUCUGACCCGCACGAAUGGCGUAACGACUUGGGCGCUGUCUCAACGAGAGAUCCGGUGAAAUUUUAAUACCUGUGAAGAUGCAGGUUACCCGCGACAAGACGGAAAGACCCCAUGGAGCUUUACUGCAGCUUGAUAUUGGAUUUGGGUACGAUCUGUACAGGAUAGGUGGGAGCCGUUGAAACAGGAGCGCCAGCUUCUGUGGAGGCGCCGUUGGGAUACCACCCUGAUCGUAUCUAGGUUCUAACUUGGUACCGUGAUCCGGUGCGAGGACAGUGUCAGGCGGGCAGUUUGACUGGGGCGGUCGCCUCCUAAAGAGUAACGGAGGCGCCCCAAGGUUCCCUCAGAAUGGUUGGAAAUCAUUCGAAGAGUGCAAAGGCAUAAGGGAGCUUGACUGCGAGACCUACAAGUCGAGCAGGGACGAAAGUCGGGCUUAGUGAUCCGGUGGUACCGCAUGGAAGGGCCAUCGCUCAACGGAUAAAAGCUACCCUGGGGAUAACAGGCUUAUCUCCCCCAAGAGUCCACAUCGACGGGGAGGUUUGGCACCUCGAUGUCGGCUCAUCGCAUCCUGGGGCUGAAGUAGGUCCCAAGGGUUGGGCUGUUCGCCCAUUAAAGCGGUACGCGAGCUGGGUUCAGAACGUCGUGAGACAGUUCGGUCCCUAUCUGUCGUGGGCGUAGGAAAUUUGAGAGGAGCUGUCCUUAGUACGAGAGGACCGGGAUGGACGUACCGCUGGUGCACCAGUUGUUCCGCCAGGAGCAUGGCUGGGUAGCUACGUACGGAAGGGAUAAGCGCUGAAAGCAUCUAAGCGUGAAGCCCCCCUCAAGAUGAGAUUUCCCA